rnacentral:misc_RNA from 1 species
GAACAGAGAGAUUGUCAAGCUUCACGGAAUUCUGAUUCUUUUGUUUCAUAGAACUCACAGAUAACAAAAUAUCAGGUAAGAAGAAGAAGAGAGGAACACCAAAAGGUGUGAUAGAUGACAGUUUCACAAGAAUAAUAACAUAUCCAGUUGGCUCCCUCCCUAUCAUGCUAUCCCAUUGAAGACAAGCUUAUCAAUAGUAUAUAAUCAUGGAAAAUGUAUU